UGUGAUGCGUUUGCUUCACCAGUUCACAUCUCUCACUCCAGAGCAGAUUCACACAUCAACUCUGAGCAGCUCAGUGCACUGCAUCUUCUCCAGAAUCUACGACAGUCAGCAUGGUUUUCACUGUGUGUAUGAGGGUCCUCCUUGGGAUUAUUCUGCUUUCUUGUAUUCAGAGUGUGAUGAAUGAAAAUGUGGACAUUAACACCCUUUCCAGGAUUCAAAAGUUUUUUCAUCGAAGCUAUGCAAGCAGUACUGGCCAGUAUGCAGUGGCCAUAAAUGUCCCAAAGGUGCAGUGUCGAAGUGGUUUCUAUCCAUCAGCAAGAAACUUUCUGCGGAAUGAUAGAUCAGAAGACGUUAGACCUUACAUAAAUCCUGACAGCAUGGAUGUCUAUGAAGGCACUGAACUCAUCGCUGCAGGGCAUCAUAUAAAUGCACAUUCAGAGGAUUUACUGAUGAAUCCUCAAAACAAUUCUCCUCUGACAGACUUAAUGAGAAACAAUGAUGGAUGUGUGGUUUUCUACACCUUAAACUCUCCCUGUAUAAACAGAUGUCUUAAUAAUGUUAAUAACAAUAUUAUACCAGGUCUUGAGAAAUUAAGGGCAUACCGGGGAAUUAAAGCCUUUGUUUACACAUAUAUCUAUUAUAAUGACCAAAACAAUGCAAAUCUGCGCGCGGGACUACAGAAGAUUGCUGAUCGUGUGCCACUUUACCGCUGUAACAGACGAGGUUGUAUCUUUUGUGGAGAACCAGGUUCAAAUAUAGUGGAUAACCGAUGUUUGAGGUCUCACUUUCUCACUUGAGUUUCUUGUGUGACAGAAAUGCUUUAGAUUACCUGAUGUGCUAGUAAGCUGCUAAGUCUUUUGAAGAUAUGCUUCAUUGCUCAUUUGGAGUCUUUCAUAUGUUGCCUUUUGCUUUUUCUUUCAUAAAGUCGACCUAUAUUUCUUACACAUGAGUAAAUUCUGACAGGAGAGCAAAAACGUUCAUUCGAAAUUGCUGUUUUAUGAAAAAAGUACCAGUAAAUUAAAGCCAUUAUGACCAUAUGGGUUGGACCACAAUGUUUUUCAAUAAUCUUUGUAUUAAAUUGCUCAUUUGUUUAUGCUUGGAUAACAAUAUUUGUAAUGCUUCCAUAAACGCUUCUUGGAAAAAUAAAUACUUUUUUAAGCACCAUC